AUUCUUCGGAAUGUGGAAGAGUGGCGAACGGGUGAGGAACACGUAAGAAUCUGCCCCUCGGUCGGGGACAACUUUUGGAAACGAAAGCUAAUACCCGAUACGCUGUGGAGUGAAAGAAUUUCGCCGAGGGAUGAUCUUGCGUCUGAUUAGCUAGUUGGUGCGGUAAUGGCGCACCAAGGCGACGAUCAGUAGCUGGUCUGAGAGGAUGAACAGCCACAUUGGAACUGAGACACGGUCCAAACUCCUACGGGAGGCAGCAGUGGGGAAUUUUCCGCAAUGGACGAAAGUCUGACGGAGCGACGCUGCGUGAAGGAUGACGGCCUGCGGGUUGUAAACUUCUUUUCUCGAAGAAGAAGCUCUGACGGUAUUCGAGGAAUAAGCAUCGGCUAACUCCGUGCCAGCAGCCGCGGUAAGACGGAGGAUGCAAGUGUUAUUCGGAAUGAUUGGGCGUAAAGCGUCUGUAGGCUGUAUAGAAAGUCUUUUGUUAAAUACCUCGGCUCAACCGAGAUCCAGCAAAG
rnacentral:rRNA from 1 species